AUGAACGCUAGCGAUAGGCUUCACACAUGCAAGUCGAGGGGCAGCGAGGGUAGCAAUACCUGUCGGCGACCGGCGCACGGGUGAGUAACGCGUAUGUAACCUGCCCGCAACAGGGGGAUAACCCGGCGAAAGUCGGACUAAUACCGCAUAAAACAGGGGUCCCGCAUGGGAAUAUUUGUUAAAGAUUUAUCGGUUGCGGAUGGGCAUGCGUACCAUUAGGUAGUUGGUGAGGUAACGGCUCACCAAGCCUUCGAUGGUUAGGGGUUCUGAGAGGAAGGUCCCCCACACUGGUACUGAGACACGGACCAGACACCUACGGGAGGAAGCAGUGAGGAAUAUUGGUCAAUGGGCGAGAGCCUGAACCAGCCAAGUCGCGUGAAGGAGGACUGCCCUAUGGGUUGUAAACUUCUUUUACAAGGGAAUAAAAUGAGAUACGUGUAUUUUAUUGCAUGUACCUUGGGAAUAAGCAUCGGAUAACUCCGUG
rnacentral:rRNA from 1 species